UCUGUGCUAAAUGUGGUUAUGGUCAAGAUAGUACUCUGUUUCCAGAAACUCAGUCCCAUGGGAGCUCUAGGGACUCGGCCUUGAGGGUAGGACUCUGUGGGAUGAAAGGCAAAAUAUGAUUCUGACCCAAAUCUGAGGGUGUUGACAAAAUCAGUGGAGGAGACAGAUCACAGAGCUGAGUGGGAAGUAGAGGCAAAUUUUCCAUAUAGGGCGAAAGCCCCCUUCCAAAGAAAAUGACACUUCUCACUGUACAAACUGGAAAACAUUGAGUUUUUUGAGUAUCGUUUACUCAGAUGAAGAUGAAUGUGUUAACAUCGUAAAAUACCACCAUGUUUUUUUAUUGCCAUUCUUUAUUUGAAGUAGAACAACAUUGUUCACAGCAAGGCUUACUCACAUAAACAGAUUUUGCCUGGAAAUACUGACAUGUAUUUAUGACUGCAGAAAACCUGGGAAAUUUCAGGAGCUGCUGCUCCGAGACAGUUACUAAUCAGCUUUAUGAAGGCCGCAGAGGGUGGGUCCCAGACUGAGAUUGAGCUCAAACCCCACUUUACUGGGCAAAGUGCAGGAUGCUUUCUGUCUCUGAAAAUGGACAUGAUGAUGCGUAUGAGACAGAACUGCUAGCAGAGCCGACACAUGGAGGGUGUUCAAAAGGAACACCGAAUGACUUAGUCCUAUUUGUGAAGUGUGAUGUCCCUGUUGGGCUACUGAUGUUCACAAAAGAAGGAUCACAAUGGCACUAAUCAUGACUAAGAAAAUAGCAGCAGAAACAGCGCAUGCUACUUUUUUUUUUUUUUUUUUUUUUUUUUUUUUUUUUUUUUUAGCGCAUGCUACCUAACCUGGUGGAAAUUCCUGAAGCCCGUGCCUGGGCACCACUCCCACCUAUACAGUGCCACAUUCACUCAGAAGGCUACAGAGGAAUUUGGCCAGAACAAUAUGGGUAAUUAGCACUAAAAGAUUAUUCCAAACCCUCAUUUUAGACGAGUUUUAACUUAUUUUUUAAAUAUUUUAUUUAUUUCUUUAUUUCAGAGACAGAGAGAUAGAGAAAGAGAGUCACAAGCAUGAGCAGGAGGAGAGGCAGAGGGAGAAGCAGACUCUCCACUGAGCAGGGAGCCCAAUGUGGGGCAAAAAAUAUGGAAUGCUCCAUGAAUUUUCAGGUCAUCCUGGUAAGUUUUAACUUUUAUCUUUUUCUAAAUGCUUAACAAAGGUGCUCAAAGAAAAUAAAAUCAUCUCAGGGACAGAAGAGUCUGGUCUUUAUUGACUGUAAUCUGAGGACAGAUACCAGGGUACUGUGCCCACAGCUAGAUCCUGCACUUAGCCCACUGUAGGUGCUCAGCAAAUGCUUAUUGAAUGAAUGAAGAGAUUAGAGAAGGACAAGGAAAAAUCUGGCCAGCAUGAUGAAUAGGGACAACACCAAAUAUUCUCAGAGAAGAAAUUCUAUGAUACGAUGCUGCCCGAAAUUUUCAACAAAUCACCCUUCCAAGAGAAGGGUGAAAGAAUGCUUGUCCCGGGGAGAUCUGGAGUGAAAUCUUGGGGACAACAUUUAGCAAUAUGCCCUGAUAGUCUGGUUUAGGACAUAUAGCUGUCACCUGUUUGUCCCGAGGUCCUUCCCAAGGACACCUCUUGACCUAGCUCCUGGACCACCUCCAGAAGACAGAGACCUUUUGAUAACUCUUGUGAGAGUCCUUUACAUAUGUUUAGAGCCUUCAAGGUCUACACCUGGGGGAUUAUGGCCCUGAGAGCCAGGAUUUUCUCCCCUCUCCCCAUGUCCUUCUUUCCUGCUGAAGAUCUUGGGAUUUUUUUUAAAUUUAUUUUUUAUUGGUGUUCAAUUUACUAACAUACAGAAUAACCCCCAGUGCCAUCACCCAUUCACUCCCACCCCCCGCCCUCCUCCCCUUCUACCACCCCUAGCUCGUUUCCCAGAGAGCAGUCUUUACGUUCUGUCUCCCUUUCUGAUAUUUCCCACACAUUUCUUCUCCCUUCCCUUAUAUUCCCUUUCACUAUUAUUUAUAUUCCCCAAAUGAAUGAGAACAUAUAAUGUUUGUCCUUCUCCGACUGACUUACUUCACUCAGCAGAUCUUGGGAUUAUCUCUUCCCUCCAGAGGACAUGUUGACUUCCUGCCUUAGAGGCAUGGCCUUUACCUGGGGCAGCAACAGAAAGGACGUCCUAACUCAGCACAGUGA
rnacentral:lncRNA from 1 species